UUGAUUUAAAUCAUUGUGGGUUUACACUUUGAAAAUUGAAGCUACACAAAAUGGUGGGACAUACAUUGAUUUCAUCCAA
rnacentral:pre_miRNA from 1 species